rnacentral:lncRNA from 1 species
AAAUGACUGGAGCCAAGAGCCUGUCACGCUCGCGGUAUUCAGUGCAAGGUCUGAUCGCGUCUUCUGUCACUCAAGGCCUGAGGGCGCGGAGCCUGGAGCUCUAUCCAUUAAGGGCGCUGGGGUGGGAACUGUCCAAUCAGGUUCACAGUCAGAGAGGAAGGGGUGGCUCCCGGUACCUGGCGGGGCCUUUGUCUCUUGCUCCAGCCAGAGCUCGAGGUUAGCUCUUCACUGCCCUGUGUCUUCUUUCCAAGGGUCUCGGUGAUUCGGCCACAGCCUCAGCCUCCAUCACGCGGUGAACUGAUGGUGCUGGAAGAUUCAUAGACUCCAGGACAUUCCUGAAGCCGAGAAAAGGUUAAGUAGGGUCUGGCCUGGAAUACUCUCCUAGAUGAAGAUAGCCCAACCAUGAGCCACCUUCGAAGCAGAUGAGAUGAAAUUAAAGCUCUUCAACUCCUAAAGGCCCAGAGACUAUCACAAAAGAGGUGGGCAUGUGAGAUUGUAAGAACUGAUUUUGAGAGAUAAAAUAAGUUCAGUUUUUCUAUACAUUAAUCAUUAAUGUCAAAGGCACACUAAUGCAAGACCAGAAUAGGGGCCCCAGUGUUAGAUUAACAAGGUUUUCUUGAAGCAUUAACUGACUCCUUAAUAAAGGCUUAUAGAAGUUAUAUCUCAUGGUCAAGAUUAGAAUUUUAUAGAUUGUUCAUAACAUUUUGAAAAACAAAUUUAAUUGGCUUUAUGCUGUUUUAUUGAAGAUUAUUGUUUGGAAAAUUAAGUCUUGUCUCCCAAAGAAUGAAGGUUUUUUCUUUUUUUGUUUUUGAAAUCUUUAUUACUUUGGUCAAAUUAAUGACUUAUUUUACAAUGACCUGUGACAUCAGGUGUUUUAAAUCUUUGAUAUUUGACUGAGAUUCUUUCUGUGGAACAAAGUUCCAUCAAACUUUCCAAAAUCAAAUUAUAAAUUAUGUAUUUUUCUUACCUAAUCCUUUAAAAUAUUAUGUUCCCUAAAGUUUAAAAAUGACAUAAUUUUGCUUAUUUCUUAUAAAAAUUAUACAGAGAACGUUGUUGAAUAUGAAAUGGUGUUUGGUUUUUUUGGGCUGUGUUUGUAUAAGUAUAUUAUUGGUAUUUGUUCUAAAAUUAUGGGAAACUCCUAUAAUUCUUAUAUGACUUAGUGUACAUUAUUAGCAGUAAUUAUAAUUGCUAUAUUGCCACAGAGGUAACAAAUUUCCUUGUCAAUUGUAUCUUUGACUUUGGUUGCCUUAAAACUUUUUGUCAUUCACAGACAAUUGUAUUGUUUUGGUCCUCUUUAGAAGGUGGUUUUAUAAUCAGCUAUAAAACUCUUAACAGGUGGUCUUGAAUGCAAGUUUCUGAUAACUUUGGAGAUGGUGACAUCAGAGUAGAGGAAAAAAAUUCAGAACUCAUGGAGAGCUGAAAUGUUCAUGAAUAUUAAGCAGAACAAGGAUUAAGUGCAUGCAUUGAACUAUUAGAAGACUGAAGUAAUCUUUUUUUCUUUUUUUGAGUCGGGGUUUCACUCGGUCUUCCAGGCUGGAGUCCAGUGGUGUGAUCUCAGCUGAAUUACAGAUGCAUGCCACCACACCUGGCUAAGUUUUGUAUUUUUAGUAGAGACGGGGUUUCACCAUGUUGGUCAGGCUGGUCCAAACUCCUGACCUCAUGAUCUGCCUGCUUGGCCUCCCAAAGUGUUGGGAUUAUAGGCGUGAGCCACCGAGACCAGCUGAUCUUUUUGACUUUUUACUUAAAAUGUUGCUGAUCCUUUCUUUUGUUUUCUGAGUCAAGGAAACCUACCUUUUGAUCUAUUUACAGCUUUUAACAAGUUAGUAUACUCCUGUGAACAAAAUUUAAAGCAUAUUUAAUUCUCUCUACUUGAUUUCUCUAGAAUUUGGAAACUAUUUGUGAGUAUUCUUAACUUAUGGCAAUACAUUUAUUUGCAUAAGUGCAUUAAGAAUGUUUUUUUUUGUUUGUUUUGUUGUGUUAUUUAUUUAUUUUUUGAGACAGAGUCUCACUCUGUUGCCAGGCUAGAGUGUGGUGGCCCGAUCUUGGCUCACUGCAACCUCUGCCUCCUGGGUUCAAGCAAUCCUCCUGCCUUGGCCUCCCAGGUAGCUGGGACUACAGGCGAGCGCCACCAUGCCCAGCUGAUUUUUUAUAUUUUUAGUAGAGAUAGGGUUUCACCAUGCUGGCCACUAUGGUCUUGAUCUCUUGACCUCAUGAUUCACCCAUCUUGACCUCCCAAAGUGCUGUGAUUACAGGCAUGAGCCACCACGCCCUGCCAAGAAUCUGGUUUUUAUAAGUAACAGGACACAAUUGGAGAAACUGGUUAUUUUACCAACACUUUGACUGGAAUGGUGUUCCUUUUUUAAGGAAUCAAACUUGAUUUAUGGAGCCAAUUAAAAGCCCCUCGGGAAAACUGGAUUCAAAUCUUGUCUACAUAUUCCCUGUACUAUGACAUUUUUACUUACCACAGGUCAGAAAUCCUGAAGGUCACUUUCUGACAAACUCAGGAACCCCAGGUUUAUCUUGGAGCCUCAAGAGGAGAUAAAUUCACCCAACUCAGGCUGGAGUGCAGUGGAAUGAUCUUGGCUCACUUCCGUCUCCGCCUUCCAGUUUCAAGUGAUUCUCCUGCCUCAGCCUACUGAGUAGUUGGGAUUACAGGUGCCUGCCACCACACCCAGCUAAUUUUUGUAUUUUUAGUAAAGAUGGGGUUUCACCAUGUUGGCCAGGCUGGUCUCAAACUCCUGACGUCAUGAUCUGCCCGCUUCAGUCUCCCAAAGUGUGAUUACAGAAACCACCCCACUGGCAGGAGACGGCGGUAGCUGUGGUCAUUGAAAACAAGCUCCUGCUGAUAAAUCUCAGACACCAGACACAGAAGAACCUGGAGACCCUGCCAGAGAGCUUGAGGCAAAUGGAUGGACUGUUGGAGCAGCUGAGGGUGAAGCAGCACAAACUCCUCAAAGUUGAAUAGCAAAGCAGCCACCAGAGAUGGACAAGAAAAAUGAACAAAGAAAAUUAGCAGAAAUCAAAGGCAGAUGCUAAAGCAGUGCAAAAUCAUUCAUUCAAUGAUAGAAAUGAAAUUGAUGAAGGAGUCUGGAAAAUGAAUGACAGAAGAGAAUUAAACAGCAGUGACCAUAGUAAGGUCCUGACGAUUCUGGUCCACUGAAUCCCAUCAUCCCUAAGACAGUAAAUAUCAUCACAGUCACCACCAGCAAGUUACCACCACAGCAUUUCCUGUUUGUUCCAAAAUGAAUAAAGAUGAUUCUCAUCACAAGGGCAAAUACAAAGUAGUUUAGUAUGUUUUUAACUAAACUAAAGGUGUUUGGUUUACUUUUUCUAAGUUCUCAUAAUUCUGAAAAUGCAGUUGACACUUGUGUGGCUCAUGAUGUUUUUAAUAGUCUAAUGCUACUUGAAUUGUUCAAAAACCACUGUAUUUUAAAUUAAGAUGAAUAAACGGUCCUUUGAAAACUGGCACAAGGCAAGGAUGCCCUCUGUCACCACUCCUAUUCAACACAGUAUUGGAAGUUCUGGCCAGGGCAAUCAGGCAAGGGAAAGCAAUACAGCGUAUCAAAAUAGGAAGAGAGGAAGUCAAAUUGUCUCUGUUUGCAGAUGACAUGAUUGCAUAUUUAGAAAACCCCAUCUUCUCAGCCCAAAACCUCCUUAAGCUGAUAAGCAACUUCAGCAGUCUCAGAAUACAAAAUCAAUGUGCAAAAAAUCACAAGCAUUCCUAUACAUUAAUAACAGACAAACAGAGAGCCAAAUCAUGAGUGAACUCCCACUCACAAUUGCUAGUAAGAGAAUAAAAUACCUAGGAAAAUACAGCUUACAAGGGACAUGAAGGACCUCUUCAAGGAGAACUACAAACCACUGCUCAAGGAAAUGAGAAGAGACAAACAAAUGGGAAAGCAUUCCAUGCUCAUGGAUAGGAAGAAUCAAUAUCGUGAAAAUGGCCAUAGUGCCCAAAGUAAUUUUAUAGAUUCAAUGCUAUCCUCAUUAAGCUACCAUUGAUUUUCUUCACAGAAUUGGAAAAAACUACUUUAAACUUCAUAUGGAACCAAAAAAGAGCCUGCACAACCAAGACAAUACUGGGCAAGAAGAACAAAGCUGGAAACAUCAGGCUACCUGGCUUCAAACUAUACUACAAGGCUACAGGAACCAAAACAGCAUGGUACUGGUACCAAACAGAUAUGUAGACCAGUGGAACAGAACAGGGCCUCAGAAAUUGAUAUCACUCUGUCACCAUCAAAAAAUACUUAUUUAGUGUCAAAUCCUACUGUGAAAUAGCAGAACUGUGGGAUUUGUAAAGUGGAAAUGCAGAAUUCAAAACAGAGAUAUAUACCAAUGGAACAGAGCAGAGGCCUCAGAAAUACCACCACACGGCUACAACAAUCUGAUCUUUGACAAACCUGACACACACAAGCAAUGAGAAAAAGAUUCCCUAUUUAAUAAAUGGUGUUGGGAAAACUGGCUAGCCAUAUGUAGAAAAUUGAAACUGGACCCCUUUCUUACCCGUUUUACAAAAAUCAACUCAAGAUGUAUCAAAGACUUAAAUGUAAGACCUAAGACCAUAAAAAUCCUAGAAGAAAACCUGGGCAGUACCAUUCAGGACAUAGGCAUGGGCAAAGCCUUCAUGUCCAAAACACCAAAAGCAGUGGCAACAAAAGCCAAAAUUGACAAAUGGGAUCUAAUUAAAUUAAAUAGCUUCUGCACAGCAAAAGAAACUCAUCAGAGUGAACAGGCAACUACAGAAUGGGAGAAAAUUCUUGCAAUCUAUCCAUCUGACAAAAGGCUAAUAUCUAGAAUCUACAAAGAAUUUAAACAGUUUACAAGAAACAAACAAACUGCCCCAUCAAAAAAUGGGCAAAGAUAUGGACAGACACUUCUCAAAAGAAAACAUUUAUGCAGCCAACAGACACAUGAAAAAAUGCUCAUCACUGGUCAUUAGAGAAAUGCAAAUCAAAACCACAAUGAGAUACCAUGUCACACCCGUUAGAAUGGCAAUCAUUAAAAAGUCAGGAAACAACAGUGCUGGAGUGGAUAUGGAGAAAUAGGAACACUUUUACACUGUUGGGAGUGUAAAUUAGUUCAACCAUUGUGGAAAACAGUGUGGCAAUUCCUCAAGGAUCUAGAACUAGAAAUAACAUUUGACCAAUUCCAUUACUGAGUAUAUACCUAAAGGAUUAUAAAUCAUUCUAUGAUAAAGACACAUGCACACGUCUGUUUAUUGUGGCACUAUUCACAAUAGCAAAGACUUGAAACCAACCCAAAUGUCCAUCAAUGAUAGACUGGGUAAAGAAAAUGUGGCACAUAUACACUGUGGAAUACUGUGCAGGUGUAAAAAAGGAUGAGUUCAUGUCCUUUGCAGGGACAUGGAUGAAGCUGGAAACCAUCAUUCUCAGCAAACUAGCACAAGAUCAGAAAACCAAACGCUGCAUGUUCUCACUCAUAAGUGGGAGUUGAACAGUGAGAACACAUGGACACAGGGAGGUGAACAUCACACACUGGGGCCUGUCAGGUGCUGGGGGGCUAAGGGAGGGAUAACAGGAAAAAUACCUAAUGUAGGUGACGGGUUGAUGGUUGCAGCAAACCACCAUGGCACAUGUGUACACGUAUGUAAUAAAACUGAUGUUCUUCACAUGUAACCCAGAACUUAAAGUAUAAUAAUAAAAAGAAGAAUAAAUAUUUGUUUUAUAUAUUUAAAGCUUAGAAUCACAAAUAAUGCUUCUGUUUAUGAUUUGAAAACUUCAAAGUUUGGUUUUCCUUCUGUACAUACACAAAACAUUGUAUUGUGCUGAAAUAUUUGUUUUUUAAAGUGGCAGUCAUAGUUCCUGUCUGUCCGGAUAUAUAUAUGUAUAUAUGUUAAGCAUAACAUAAGAAAGAAAUUUCAUUAGCUGGGCAUGAUGGCUCACUCCUGUAAUCCCAGAACCUUGGGAGGCUGAGGUGGGUGGAUUGCCUGAGGUCAGGAGUUUGAGACCAGCCUGGCCAACAUAGUGAAACCUCGUCUCUACUAAAAAUACAAAAAAUUAGGUGGGCGUGGUGGCAGGCACCUGUAAUCCCAGCUACUAGGGAGGCUGAGGCAAGAGAACGGCUUGAACCUGGGAGUCAGAGGUUGACGUGAGCCGAGAUCACACCAUUGCACUCCAG